UAUGACUGAACGCCUCUAAGUCAGAAUCCUGCCUAGUCAAGGCAACAAUAAUGUUGCUUCCCGGUGUCGGGAGGCAUCCUUAUCUCGUGGUAACACGAGAGCUUAUGCCCUAGUAAAUGGCCUUGCCAAUGGGGUAGAAUCCCUAUUGGUUGCCAAAGCCAGAUCACUCUGGUUCAAUGUCGGGGCGCAAAAUCACUUGCUUACGACUUGUAUACUGGUCAAGGUGUUGUAUCCAGUAGAGCAGUCUCUUUAUACUGCGAUCUGUUGAGACUAUCCUUUGAUUGGAUGUUUUGU
rnacentral:ncRNA from 1 species